GACGAGCCGUGCAAACGUUGUUCGGAAUCACUGGGCUUAAAGGGCGCGUAGGCGGGCGGUCAAGUCAGGGGUGAAAUCCCACGGCUCAACCGUGGAACAGCCUUUGAUACUGAUUGUCUCGAGGGAGGUAGGGGCGUGCGGAACUUCCGGUGGAGCGGUGAAAUGCGUAGAUAUCGGAAGGAACACCGAUGGCGAAAGCAGCGCGCUGGACCUUUACUGACGCUGAGGCGCGAAAGCCAGGGGAGCAAACGGG
rnacentral:rRNA from 1 species